rnacentral:rRNA from 1 species
CAGUCGCCACGGGAAAACGGAGGGUGCAAGCGUUGUUCGGAAUUAUUGGGCGUAAGGGGUGCGUAGGCGGUUUGGCAAGUUUGGUGUGAAAUCUUCGGGCUCAACUCGAAGUCUGCAUCGAAAACUGCCGGGCUUGAGUAUGGGAGAGGUGAGUGGAAUUUCCGGUGUAGCGGUGAAAUGCGUAGAUACCGGGAGGAACGCCGAUGGCGAAGGCAGCCACCUGGUCCACUUCUGACGCUGAGGCGCGAAAGCGUGGGGAGCAAACCGGAUUAGAUACCCCAGUAGUCCCUGUCUCUUAUAC